GCCAGAUCCGUGACUUCCGCGUAACCUGCGGAACUUUAGGUGGAGACCGAAAAGGCAGUGGCGGCGGCGGUGGCUCUUCCCACCUGCGCAGCUGCUUUUGUUUGUAUAAAUCCUCUAAAGCUCCGUGUCUGCUGGAACAUGGUCCAAGAAUGAAAUCCUGUGAGAAUUCUGGGUGCUUAGGAGAAAACUCUAAGACAAGACCAGAAUCUCAUGACCUUAUAGGGGAAUUUUAAUCCAACACCAUGGGUGCUCUGACAAGGGAUCACAUCCAAAGAUCUUCUAAGCCCACAGGAACUGGGCAGAAUACAGAAAAACCCUGGAAUACAGUAUGGUCUGGCUGGAAUACAGACACACCCUUAGUACACACCUCUAAUCCCUAACAUGAAGAUAAGGCAAGUUUGUAGAAGGAAGCAGCCUUGUUUGAAAGUGAUGUCUAAUUAAGGGACAAUGUGACGAACCAGAGAAAGAUUUGACAGAAUGAGUCAGAGAUAGGAUACAUCCAACUCACAGAACAGCAGAGGAAAGAGGCUACGAGAGAGAGACAGAGACACAGAGACUGAGACAGGGAGACAGGUGUGUGUGGAGAUUUUACCAGGAUGGUUUUACAGAAACAGGUUAGACACAAGUGAUGACAGAAGGAGCCAGAGAAUGAGAAGGAGCCAGAAGAUUAGAACAUGUUGCCAAAGUGAAGUAUAAAGCCAAGCAGAGCAAUUCAGUCAGAAACCAAGAGAAGACUGAAUCAGUCAGCUUGGAAGAUUAGAUUGUACGCAGAGGCUUGAAGCUUCCUAGCCUAGGCCUAGGGAUAGAACAGGCAAACACUCUGGGCUCAGCCCAAGCCCU
ensembl:processed_transcript Gm20036 predicted gene, 20036